rnacentral:tRNA from 1 species
GAGGGUAUAGCUCAGUGGUAGAGCAUGUGCUUAGCAUGCAUGAGGUCCUGGGUUCAAUCCUCAGUACCUCCG